UGACCAUUUUCUCCAAGGGCAACCCACUGAGUUCCUCCACCUCUUUUCCUAGGAAAAAAAACCUGAUUAAGCAUAUAAAAGAAGAAUAAGCAUGGCUCCUGUAAUGACCUGCCUCAUCAACCUCUAAGACCUUUGAAACUGUUAACAAAUAGGAGGAUAAAGGAGAUCCAAUAAAUGUUCUAUAGAGUCCAUGUUCUCUUAAGAUUGUUUUACAAAGUCACUCACCAGAGGCUCCUAAGUAAAUUUACCAGCCAUGGCAUAAGAGGAUAGUUCUUCUCAAGGAUUAAUUACUGGUUAAAUGCAGAAAGUAGCAGUUAGGAGUAAUUGGACUGUUUUCACAAUCAAAGAAAAUAAACAGUGAGGUCUCCCAGGGAUCUACAUUGGAAUUGAGUUACUUGCUUUUGUUCAUGCUUGUUCUGAAAUUUGGGGAAAUGGCUGAGUUUGCAGAAAACACCAAAUUAUUCUUGAUGGUAAAAACUAAAGUAGAUUGUGAGGAGUUUCAAAAGGGUCUAUCCAAGCUAGGUGAGUGGAUUACAUGAAAAAUGAGGAUUGAUGUUAAUUAUAUACAUUGGGAAACCACCUACUGUUAAAUUUACAUAUACACUGGAUAUUGUAGCAUUGGAAAAGGUACAGAAGAAGGCAACCAAAAUAACGAAGAGGUUGAAACUCCUUCUGCAUGAGGAAAGGCUAAGAAGUUGGGGGCUUUUUUUAGCUGAAAGAAAAGGUAACUGGAGGUAGGGGACAUGAAAGAGAUUUAUAAAAUUAUGCCUGGCAUAGUGAUAGUAUAUAAAGAGAACUUGAUCUCCCUUUCCCAUAAUACUGGAAGUUAAUGGGCAAUAGAUUUAGGAAAGUUAAAGGGGAAAAAAGUACUUCACACAACAUGUGAUUACUCUCAGAGCUCAGAGCUGCAGAAUGCUAGUUUAGAAGACUUUAAAACAGCAUUAGACAAAUUCAUAUAGGAUAAGUCUGUUUGUGACUACUAGCCAAGAUCACUAGAUGGAAUUCCCACAUUCACCAGCAUAACAUCUUUGAACAGAAGUGGAUCUGGUUGGCCACUGUAGGAAACAGGCUGCUGGACUAGAUGGAGCCCCCUGCAAAUUGCAAAUAAACCUUCACUCUAUGCCCUUACUAUCCUGUUUGUUUUUCUUCUUUCAGCCUCUGUAUGCAAUCCAAGACAGAUAAUGUAUAAAUUCCUGAAUGCUGGUUGUCACCCACCCAUUUGCAGCAUUUGCAGCUGACUCCUUCAAUGCUGUCAUUGAGCAGAGCAUUGACCUGCAUUAUUAAUCCAAGCAAACACCCGCAGCCUCUCUGCUUCAAGGCAACCUAAUUGCAAGUGGCUCAGAUGUGAGGAGGACGGCUUCAAAAUAUGUGUCAGAGUGUCAGUUUGCUAGUCAGUUCUCAAGCCAAAGCUACGCCAUGUUCUUAUGUUAUAAUCUGUAGUUGUUUAGCUCUCUCCCUCCAGGCCCAGGUGUUGCCCAAGCUGCAUGUACCCAUGGGAGCGAAGAAUUCUUAUCACUCUGUUCCGGCCGACCUUGAUGUCCUCGCCUUCUAGACAGGACUAAGGGGGGAGGCUGGGAAUGGGUGUUUGAAGUGUUGUUACUUUCACUUUGUGUGUCAUUCUCAACAAAGCCUUUGUUCAGCCAAGACUUACCUAGUCCUUGGCAUAUGGAUAACUGUAUCCUGAGCGUUGCCUUUCAAGAAACCUUUUGGAAUCAAGAAACUUGUGCUUCUUGCAGAAGGGGGAGGCGAACUCUAGAUAACUGGGAUUCCAUAGUCUGACAAUAUGGCCACUGGCAGCCUCAAAUGUGACAGAAAUGUGGCAGCAUGUCCAGUCCCAGACUAUUUAAAUUCCUAUGUAACUCAGUUAUAGGGAGGGCUUUCCUGAUGAGUAGCUUUUGCUUUUCGUAAUGCUUACUCUGAAAAUGAUGUGAUGGUAAAAAGCAGGGCUCAUUUUGAGGGGGAAUGUGCCAGAACGCCAUUCCGGAACCUCUGAAAGAGAUCACGUGGGUGGUGGCCCCACCCAUGUGAUUCCUUUUCCUCCCCGUGCAGCCUGUGUCUUUAGUAGUAGGCAGCGGCAGCAGCAGCAGCAGCAGCACUGAGGCGGUGCACGGCCCGCAGUGGCCUCCAGAGCCAGCCCUGCAGCCAGCUGGCGCCGCUGUGGCCUGUGCGGCCUGUCCUCCCGGCCUGCAAGCCACCUCAACGGCUCGGGGGGUGGUAUUAUAUUCUAGUCUGUAAUUGUAGUCCUAUUGUAUUGAAAUCUGCAGAAACUUUUGGCAGCUUUGUUAAGUUACAGGAAAAAAGAUGGAGAAAUGCCCACAUGUGGAAGCUUCAUCACCAGUGCGUAUUCCUUUGCAAUCACAGUGGCAAUGAAAGCAACAUGGAGAAUCCUCGGUGUGUGGAAAUAGCAUGAGUCAACAGUGACAGUUUGCUUAUAGUUUCUGAUGGAAUUCAGCUCAAAGUGGGCAUAGACGGCUGAAGAACAUCGUUCCCUGCUUGCUUCUCAACUGAACUUGGAAGAGGAGUAAGGAAGCUGAAAGGGAGUGAAAGAUUACUGGAACCUACUUAGUUGAACAAAGAUAAAGGAAACAUGGCAGAAAAGCUGCAGGCAUCUUCACAGAAAGAAAAAUAACGUCAAGUUGUUCAUGAGCUGGACGUGGAAUCUUGCUGCACAGUUCUGUACUUCUACUGCCUGUGUCCUUGCUUCAAUAAGAUGCUGAUCUUCAAUCCUUUUUGGCAUAAGCCUUGAUCUUGAAAUCUGAGUAAUGAUCCUGAACAGUUGAAAAAUAUGAAUUUCCAGAACAAUCAGUUCCUUCUUUCUGGAAAUUCAAUCACCUGCUAUCACAAUCCUGCCUUCUUAUUUGUAAAGGCAGAAAUGCUAAUAGGGUUUUUGUGACUUUCUGAAUGGACAUCAUUCCUCCAUAAAUAUUAUAGGAUGCAUGGGAUACAGUGAAUAUUAAGAUUAAUAAUUUGAUUAUUCCACAUCUUAGGUUGUGUCACUGCUUGGCUGUGAGUUGUACACAAUAUGGUGGCCCAUGCUGAAAAAGUUUUGCAUUCCUUUUAAAAAUAAUCUAGAUAGUAACCCCUUUCUUAUUCUCUUACAAGACGUGGCUAAUGCCUGCAUUUGGGGGUUCUUUCACAAGGUCCUUCUUGUCUAGUGAAUCACAGAGAAGUCUUUGCACAGUUAUUAGCAGAGUAGAAUUAUUUUUUCCAAGUUUUUCUUGGACUUGGUAUAUAAGGAAGGUCCUCUGUGAAACACACCCAAGAUGAAUGAAGCUUUUCUCCUCCAGAUUUAGUCUGGAUUCUGACUUGCAUGAACCUUAAAAUAGGGGUUUAUUAGGACCCUGAUCUAUUUACUUCUGAAUAUUCUCUCUCUCUCCCUCUCCAGUUUCUCUAGGGCCAUGCCCAGUAAGCCACACAAUGUAGCUUUGGGUUUUACUAGUACGAAUGACACUUCUCUUGAGUCUGAAGUUGACAAAAGAGCAAUGGAACAGGCACUGGAGUUGUAAAGGAGCCACUUCUGAGCCUAGGUUUUGUGCAACAUGUCUGUAAUGUUUUUAGCUUCUUGCUUAUUUCAAGUUAUAAUUGGUCUAGCUAUGCAUUUCAACAUUUUGAAAUCACUUCUAGAAACACAUCGCUCCCUGCUAAGCAUCACACUUGCAAUGUAAUCUUUUGUAAACUCUUCGGUGAUGGUGUUACAAUAGAUGUACUAAUAAAACAAUAGAAAUGUAUGUUAAAUGGCAUCUAAAAUGUUCUAAUUUUGAUUGGAAAGUUGCACAGAAUAUUGCUUCAAAUAUCUAGCCAGCAUGUGUAUGUGAGUUUCCUUAAGAGACCCUCAAAGGAAGCACAAAACACACUACUUGAUUUUGUGGUGGAAAUUACCUUACCUGCCACCCACUUGCAUCAUUAUUUUCAUUUUCCAGAAUACCUUUUUGCACCACUAAAAUUUUAAAAGAAGUUAUUUCCUCCAAAGCACAAGAAUAUACAUUUCUCAGGAACCCAAGCAGAAAAUAAAGAAAAUAAAUUAAAUAUGAUGACCAAUGGUUUCUAAUAAACAAAGCUGACUGAUGUAUGCCUUCAAAGAAAGUCUUUUCAAAACAGACUGAAUUAAAGCUUUUGGAACAUGUCCUUUGCUAGUUUUUGCAUUAAUUUGUUACCAGUUUCAAGCUAGGACUUUCAGACACAUAAUAUUAAGUAUUUGUUCUAUUUUCUUGGAAUGGAUGACAGCUUAUAAAACAAUAUGUGGCACUGUACAAUAAUAUUAUAGCAACAGGUACAUAGGAUCAGCAACGAUGCAAACACAGGCAUGUGGCCUUUGCUGACUGGGAAGAUUUCUUGCUGUUUUAAGUUGUUGGUUUGGGUAAUAAAGAGGGCAGGCUGGAUUUAUGUUGCUUUCAUUAUAAUUAUUAUCCCUUUUUAUCUUACCAGCUCCUAGGCAAAAGGAACUGGCACAGAUGGUGUUCUAAGAUAUAAACAGAUUUCUUGGCACUACAGAAAUAAAGAACAGUUUGUCAGGACUUAUGGACCCCAUGUUCUUUGGUUCUGGACACAAAUCUCUCCCACAGUGCCGAAUUACAUGACUCACUGUCAAACUUUGUAUUUGAUCUGGGAGAAAGGAAAUGGCCCGGAUCGUUGCAUCAGGAAGUGAUCGUGUCACUUAAUAAAAGAAAAAUGGCUUUCUAGAGGAAGAAGCAGAAAAUCUAAACUUAGGUCGUAUUUCUUACAUGUUUGAGGGUCCUCUGGUUGCAUUCGGUUGGAUCCCAUUGUGCUUGUAGAUGCAGAUCUUUCCUAUUUCCCCCUUCCCCUAGCAGCCACCUGAACGCUCUAAAAAGCUAAUGCUCAGAUUCACGGAAACCUUGAAGACAAAAUGUCAUGGGUCACAAGCAGCUGUCAUGUCUGUGCCUCAUCCAUGCCAUUGUUUGAUGCUGAGCUGUUAUUCUGAACCAGUGUUUAAUGCUGUACGUUGAUAUCAUAUUGCCAAUGCCAUAACUGCUUUGCUUUCACAGGCUUACUGAAGCUACAGGUGACUUAUCUAACGGCUUUGGGAGCUCUCAGUGCUUCUGACCUUGUACACUGCUCGCUCCCAUGGAUUACUGUGUUUCAACUUUAAUCUCCUGCUUUCUCAGUGUCUAGACUUGAUAGUUAAAAUAUGUGAGAAGUUCUCAGGACGGGUUCACGCCAAAAGCUAUGUUUUACUGAUGGGAGGGGGGAAAGGAGUAAUUGUGUUCUU